UCCACAUACUGUAGUUGUUAAAUGAGUUGUAUUCAUAUAUAACUCGAGUGGUAUUUUCAGAAGUAGCUAAUACACUAGAUGAAAUCAAUUAUAACAACUGCAUAGAGUAUUUCGUCUUAAUAUCUGCUAGACUGCUGUCUGCCUGUCUUUGACCAUAAUAUCAGGCUGCUGGAAUGCCGCCUGUACCGGUAUAUUGGAAACUUGUAUUACUUGCAUGUUGCAAACAUCACUAGUUCACUACCUACAGCUUAUUAUUCAAUUAUGUAAUUUUUUUGUCAUUUUCUCCCCUUCUGUUUUUCCUUUCUUUCUUUCUCUUUACUUUUUUUUCUUUUGAGACUUUUAAGUUUUACCCUCCAUUUUUUCCUGCCAACCUCAAAACUUUUCUGGGACCAAUGGUCCUGCGGUCCGCUAUAUUAUGCAGGCCUGAUUUACCCACCUUUGAACAACUGACCCCUGAAGUUUUGAAAUAAACAGACGUGCAGAAAAUCAUGAACUAAAACAGCAGGUUAAAUUUUAACUCAGGUUUAGCGCUAAUCCGGCUCCAGGGGCCGGUUGUAUAAAACUCUUAAUCACUUUUUAAUCACUAUUUUGUAGUUAAAUAGUGAUUAACUUUCAAAUAGGCGCUUCUUAUUGGAUGACGUUUGCACUUAAUCAUAGUUAACUUUAAUCACUCUUUUAUACAACCGGCCCCCGGUGCAUAAUCACUGAGCCUGAAGCGAAUAAUUGUUUUAGUCUAAAUUCUAAAGGAAUAAAACAAAAUAUCAGUUUAAUUAAACUGAGGAAUCCUACCUUUCAAGUUAAACACAAAAUUUUGUGCUUCUUUCGUUUU